rnacentral:rRNA from 1 species
CCUACGGGUGGCAGCAGUGAGGAAUAUUGGUCAAUGGGCGCUAGCCUGAACCAGCCAAGUAGCGUGAAGGAUGACUGCCCUAUGGGUUGUAAACUUCUUUUAUAUGGGAAUAAAGUGCAGUAUGUAUACUGCUUUGCAUGUACCUUAUGAAUAAGGAUCGGCUAACUCCGUGCCAGCAGCCGCGGUAAUACGGAGGAUUCGAGCGUUAUCCGGAUUUAUUGGGUUUAAAGGGAGCGGAGGCGGGUUGUUAAGUCAGCUGGGAAAGGUUGCGGCUCAACCAUAACAUUGCAGUUGAUACUGGCAGCCUUGAGUACGGUAGAGGUAGGCGGAAUGCGUGGUGUAGCGGUGAAAUGCUUAG